GUCUAAGGCCAUGCCACCCUGAACGUACCCAAUCUUGUCUGACCUCGAAUGCUAAGCAGAGUUGGGCUUGGUUAUACUUGCAUGAGAAAAUGGGGGAAAGAACUAAAGGAGGUU
ensembl:rRNA 5S_rRNA 5S ribosomal RNA